AGGUGAUCAAGGAGUACCCAGUUUUGCCCUACGGUGCUAGGAACUUCCCUUGCACCGGCUCUUCCGUUUUGCUUCCUCUCCAGUUAAACAGAGGGACUGACAUGGCUGAAUUACCACAAGCGGAGGUGAUGAUCUGCGGUGGCUCAAAGCCCGGUUCGUAUGUCAAGGCUUACAUGGAGCACGUUUACGACGAAGCGUCGAGGACAUGUGGGAGGUUAAAAGUGACAGACCCGAAACCCAAUUGGAGCAUGGAGCUCAUGCCCACUCCAAGGGUCAUGAACGACAUGUUAUUAUUACCCACCGGUGCCGUCAUCAUUAUCAACGGCGCCACUAAUGGCAGCGCUGGCUGGAACGACGCCGUGAACCCGGUUUUCCACCCUUUUCUAUACCUCCCUGAAGAGAAUCCGGCCCAGAGAUUCGUGGUCCUGAACCCAUCGAACAUUCCAAGAAUGUACCACUCCACAGCAGCGCUUUUGCCAGAUGGAAGGAUCCUAGUGGGUGGAAGCAAUCCACACCCAACGUACAACUUCACAGCAUAUCCAUACCGGACAGAACUAAGUUUGGAGGCUUUUUACCCGCCAUAUCUGGACCCACUGUACGUACAUCUAAAACCGUCAAUCCUGGGAGUGGAGUCGACAGGGAAAACGGUGUCGUACAAGGAGAUGUUCACAGUGACAUUCGUGUUGACGCUUUACCGUUCAGAUUUGGGGAUAUCGGUGGUGAUGAUGACGCCGUCGUUUAAUACGCACUCAGUGUCCAUGAACCAGAGGAUGUUGGUGUUGAAGGUGGUGAACGUAGAGAGGCUGUCUGCUUAUGGAUAUAAGGUCAACGCGAUUGGGCCCACCAAUGUCAAUGUGGCCCCACCUGGGUAUUAUAUGCUUUUUCUGGUCAACGCUGGCAUUCCUAGCCAUGCCGUUUGGGUCAAGCUGCGCUGAAUAAUAGUGAUCCAGUUUGGAUGAUGCUGCUGCUUAGGACAUUAAUUACUCGUAGGUUUUCUAUUCUUUUUGCUGGUUAGGAGGGGAAAAAAGGAAUCGAAUAGUGUAGUUGGAAUCCCAUGUAAACAAGAAUGUAUGUAUUUGUUUGAUAUUAAGCUGCAAAUUUCAAUUCCGGUUCUCC
rnacentral:misc_RNA from 1 species